rnacentral:rRNA from 1 species
AGGGUCCGUAGGCGGUUUAGUAAGUCAGUGGUGAAAGCCCAUCGCUCAACGGUGGAACGGCCAUUGAUACUGCUAGACUUGAAUUAUUAGGAAGUAACUAGAAUAUGUAGUGUAGCGGUGAAAUGCUUAGAGAUUACAUGGAAUACCAAUUGCGAAGGCAGGUUACUACUAAUGGAUUGACGCUGAUGGACGAAAGCGUGGGUAGCGAACAGGAUUAGAUACCCUGGUAGUCCACGCCGUAAACGAUGGAUACUAGCUGUUGGGAGCGAUCUCAGUGGCUAAGCGAAAGUGAUAAGUAUCCCACCUGGGGAGUACGUUCGCAAGAAUGAAACUCAAAGGAAUUGACGGGGGCCCGCACAAGCGGUGGAGCAUGUGGUUUAAUUCGAUGAUACGCGAGGAACCUUACCAAGGCUUAAAUGUAGAUUGACCGGUUUGGAAACAGAUCUUUCGCAAGACAAUUUACAAGGUGCUGCAUGGUUGUCGUCAGCUCGUGCCGUGAGGUGUCAGGUUAAGUCCUAUAACGAGCGCAACCCCUGUUGUUAGUUGCCAGCGAGUCAUGUCGGGAACUCUAGCAAGACUGCCAGUGCAAACUGUGAGGAAGGUGGGGAUGACGUCAAAUCAUCACGGCCCUUACGCCUUGGGCUACACACGUGCUACAAAUGGCCGGUACAGAGAGCAGCCACUGGG